GGUGGUGCAGAGGCGCCACGACAUCAGCUUCCUACUGACAGGCUGAAAACAGCUCUAAGUGACAGAUGUCAGCUGCUUCUAUUCCACACCGUGUGAGGGAAGACGCCAUACAGACCUACACUCCCAGAACAUCUCAGAGACCGAGGCAUUUUAAGACUGGAGGGUCCGGUGUGCAGACUGCUGUGGGUCCAUGUCGCUGGGAAGACCAUCGAAGGAUCCACCAUGGAUGGUCUCCACACACAGGUAUAUGGAGGGGGCCCAUCCCAUGCCUCCUGUCAGUCAAAAUGACUGACGGUCCUUUCCACGUCUUCUCAGGCAGCAAUAUCUUCUCAAUGUGUCCUGUUAUCUAUUGGCUUAGAACUCUAGAUUUCCACCCUUGAAUCAAUUACCCAGUUUAUAUAUAGACUGAAGAAACAGUAAAACUGCACCCUGAUAAUCAGCUGCUUCACACGAAUAAACCACAAAACAAAUGAGAAAACCUCAU